rnacentral:lncRNA from 1 species
UUCUUUAAAAAAACAUUUUCUUUCAGUCAAACGAGCACUGGACUUAUCUACACAGAUUUCUCUCCUAAAAAACGUUUAUUUGGGAGUCAAGACCGUGGACAUGCUGACAAUCAUGAUCACUGUAGCAAUAGAGAAAUGGUGCAGAUUGUUCCUGUGGUUACACCAUUUCAACCUGGGGUGAACAUGCCUGCUGCACCUGUAAUGCACCUUCAGGGUCAUCAUCCUGCCUAUGUUCUAUAAACCAAAAAAAACCCUUCUUAACCCUUGUGUGGUAUUCGGGUCUGUGACAUAUAUCAAAACACAUUUUCGAUAAACACACUCUGUACCAAGGGCUAAUAAACAUUGCUUCAUUUGUAAAUUUUAAACUAAA